rnacentral:rRNA from 1 species
GCAAAACGCGAAGAACCUUACCAAGGCUUGACAUAUACGAGAACGGGCCAGAAAUGGUCAACUCUUUGGACACUCGUAAACAGGUGGUGCAUGGUUGUCGUCAGCUCGUGUCGUGAGAUGUUGGGUUAAGUCCCGCAACGAGCGCAACCCUCGUUCUAUGUUGCCAGCACGUAAUGGUGGGAACUCAUGGGAUACUGCCGGGGUCAACUCGGAGGAAGGUGGGGAUGACGUCAAAUCAUCAUGUCCCUUAUGUCUUGGGCUUCACGCAUGCUACAAUGGCCGGUACAAAGGGCUGCAAUACCGUAAGGUGGAGCGAAUCCCAAAAAGCCGGUCCAGUUCGGAUUGAGGUCUGCAACUCGACCUCAUGAAGUCGGAGUCGCUAGUAAUCGCAGAUCAGCAACGCUGCGGUGAAUACGUUCCCGGGUCUUGUACACAC